GGGGUUGUGGCUCAGCGGUAGAGCGCUUGCCUAGCAUGCAUGAGGCCCUGGGUUCGAUCCUUAACACCA
rfam:Ictidomys tridecemlineatus contig068597, whole genome shotgun sequence.